GGAUGGGAAGGCGGUUUGGCUGGGACACCUGUCCCCCUGUUAAUCGCCAGGAUUGAUUUCCCUGGUCAGGCUGGCGAGGUGGUGGCCUCUUCCUCCCUCACCACUCCAUGUGUGUCCCUCCUAAUCAAAGAGGGCGACCUUCCCCAAGAGAAGAGGACCAAGGACCGUUCUUUGGUCAAGGGUAUACAAGUAUACCAUAUACCCUUCUCUGCUAGAACCUCCAAACGAGGUCUCAAAUUCUUUCAGUGUAAAGAAAAUAAGUUUUCUUUUUCCUUGCCAUAGCUGUGGUCCCUAU
ensembl:misc_RNA 7SK 7SK RNA